AACGAACGCUGGCGGCAUGCCUAACACAUGCAAGUCGAACGAGACCUUCGGGUCUAGUGGCGCACGGGUGCGUAACGCGUGGGAACCCGCCCUUAGGUUCGGAAUAACUCCCCGAAAGGGGUGCUAAUACCGGAUAAUGUCUUCGGACCAAAGAUUUAUCGCCUUUGGAUGGGCCCGCGUUGGAUUAGCUAGUUGGUAGGGUAAAAGCCUACCAAGGCGACGAUCCAUAGCUGGUCUGAGAGGGUGAUCAGCCACACUGGGACUGAGACACGGCCCAGACUCCUACGGGAGGCAGCAGUGGGGAAUAUUGGACAAUGGGCGAAAGCCUGAUCCAGCAAUGCCGCGUGAGUGAUGAAGGCCUUAGGGUUGUAAAGCUCUUUUACCCGGGAUGAUAAUGACAGUACCGGGAGAAUAAGCUCCGGCUAACUCCGUG
rnacentral:rRNA from 1 species